rnacentral:rRNA from 1 species
GAUGAACGCUGACAGAAUGCUUAACACAUGCAAGUCCACUUGAACUUCGGUUUGGGUGGCGGACGGGUGAGUAACGCGUAAAGAACUUGCCUCACAGCUAGGGACAACAUUUGGAAACGAAUGCUAAUACCUGAUAUUAUGAUUAUAUGGCAUCGUAUAAUUAUGAAAGCUAUAUGCGCUGUGAGAGAGCUUUGCGUCCCAUUAGCUAGUUGGAGGGGUAACAGCUCACCAAGGCGAUGAUGGGUAGCCGGCCUGAGAGGGUGAUCGGCCACAAGGGGACUGAGACACGGCCCUUACUCCUACGGGAGGCAGCAGUGGGGAAUAUUGGACAAUGGACCGAGAGUCUGAUCCAGUAAUUCUGUGUGCACGAUGAAGUUUUUCGGAAUGUAAAGUGCUUUCAGUUGGGAAGAAAAAAAUGACGGUACCAACAGAAGAAGUGACGGCUAAAUACGUG